UUCCCUACGGGAGGCUGCAGUGAGGAAUAUUGGUCAAUGGGCGCAAGCCUGAACCAGCCAUCCCGCGUGCAGGAUGACGGCCCUAUGGGUUGUAAACUGCUUUUGUACAGGAAGAAAAAUCCCUAUGUAUAGGGACCUGCCGGUACUGUACGAAUAAGCAUCGGCUAACUCCGUGCCAGCAGCCGCGGUAAUACGGAGGAUGCAAGCGUUAUCCGGAUUCAUUGGGUUUAAAGGGUGCGUAGGCGGUUAUUUAAGUCAGUGGUGAAAUCCUGUCGCUCAACGAUAGAACUGCCAUUGAUACUGAAAAACUUGAGUACAGUUGAGGUAAGCGGAAUGUGUAGUGUAGCGGUGAAAUGCUUAGAUAUUACACAGAACACCGAUUGCGAAGGCAGCUUACUAAACUGCAACUGACGCUGAUGCACGAAAGCGUGGGGAUCGAACAGGAUUAGAUACCCCGGUAGUCUAC
rnacentral:rRNA from 1 species